rnacentral:rRNA from 1 species
UCCAGACUCCUACGGGAGGCAGCAGUGGGGAAUAUUGCACAAUGGGGGGAACCCUGAUGCAGCAAUGCCGCGUGAAGGAUGAAGGUUUUCGGAUUGUAAACUUCUUUUGUACGGGACGAAGAAAGUGACGGUACCGUAAGAAUAAGCCACGGCUAACUCCGUGCCAGCAGCCGCGGUAAUACGGAGGAUGCGAGCGUUAUCCGGAUUUAUUGGGUUUAAAGGGUGCGUAGGCGGAAUGCCAAGUCAGCGGUAAAAUCGCGGGGCUCAACCUCGCUCCGCCGUUGAAACUGGCGUUCUUGAGUGGGCGAGAAGUAUGCGGAAUGCGUGGUGUAGCGGUGAAAUGCGUAGAUAUUAGGAGGAACACCAGUGGCGAAGGCGGCCUGCUGGACGAUGACUGACGUUGAGGCUCGAAAGCGUGGGGAGCAAACAGGAUUAGAUACCCCCGUA